rnacentral:tRNA from 1 species
GGGAGGAGCUAUGGCUCAGAGGUAGAGCACCUCCUUGACAAACAGAAGCCCCAGGUUCAAUUCCUGGCAUUUCA